AGUGAACGCUGGCGGUAGGCCUAACACAUGCAAGCCGAACGGCAGCACAGGAGAGCUUGCUCUCUGGGUGGCGAGUGGCGGACGGGUGAGGAAUACAUCGGAAUCUACUCUGUCGUGGGGGAUAACGUAGGGAAACUUACGCUAAUACCGCAUACGACCUACGGGUGAAAGCGGGGGACCUUCGGGCCUUGCGCGAUUGAACGAGCCGAUGUCGGAUUAGCUAGUUGGCGGGGUAAAGGCCCACCAAGGCGACGAUCCGUAGCUGGUCUGAGAGGAUGAUCAGCCACACUGGAACUGAGACACGGUCCAGACUCCUACGGGAGGCAGCAGUGGGGAAUAUUGGACAAUGGGCGCAAGCCUGAUCCAGCCAUACCGCGUGGGUGAAGAAGGCCUUCGGGUUGUAAAGCCCUUUUGUUGGGAAAGAAAUCCAGCUGGCUAAUACCCGGUUGGGAUGACGGUACCCAAAGAAUAAGCACCGGCUAACUUCGUGCCAGCCGCCGCCGUAA
rnacentral:rRNA from 1 species